CACUGGGGCCUACUCUAGAGUGGAGGAGGCUGGGAGGAGGGAGAGGAUCAGAAAAAAUAGUUAAUAUGUACUAGGCUUAAUACCUAGGUAAUGAAACAAUCUGUACAACAAAUCCCUAUGACACAGUUUAGCUAUAAUAACAAACCUGCAUGUGUACUCUUGAAUUUAAAAUAAAUAUUUAAUAAUUAAAAAAAAAAAAAAAAAAAACUCCUGAACUCCAAGCAGUGUCUAACCUCUGCUUAACUGUCUUGUGGCAAAAUUAUAAUAAUUGUAACUACAUGAGUGACAAUGCAAAAAUAAUUCUAAAAUUCGGUUUUCCUCUCAGGACACAUUGAUUCACUUAUUGUAUAAUGACAUAUUGGUCCACUCAUUUUUAUUUAAAACUUGAACUAGGAAAAAAGGAAUACAUUUUCAGAUCAGGGAUAUAUUUUCAUUCAAGAGCAACCAUAUUGAAUUCAUUGCUUUUUUCAGGUCAAGUUGACCUUGCAUCAGAGACCAGCACUUUGAAGCUUUUUGCUACAGGACCUCCUGAACCUGUUUCAGGACCUCAUUUUGAGACUUUGCAGACUGGAGAUCAGUCAGUCGCUCAUUGAUCCGCUGACCCACUACCUUUGAGUGGCAGUCUCGGUGGGUGCAGCUCAGAUGGAGGCCUUUUCCGGGAAGAAAUCAAUCUGCUUUCUCUUUGGCCGCUGUCUUUGUCUUUAUUUUAAAUUGCAAGAAAUAAGAUCACACAUGAUCAAAAAAAAAAAAAAAAAAUCACACAUGAUCUUGAACCUUUAGUUCAGGUGAGGGUGAAAGCUAUUUUCAGUGCAAUGACUGUUCUGCUGAUUCUUAGGACGUGCUUCUGGGAACAGUGCCCUUUGGAUCCGGAUUGAGUAUAAUGCCCUGUGCAGACAUUUCUCUACCUGCAGAAGGAGCCCGCCAGGCUUAUGGUGUUGCUAGCAGGAGGCAAAAGAGUCAGAGGAACCUCAUCCCAUGGCCACAACCAUCUCAGGCUCAUGAGGAGUACUGCAAGACCACUGCUGAUGUUUGCUUACAGCCCAAGGGCUCCUCAGUCAGCAUGUGGUGAAUGCUGUCUGGCCUGUGACUCACUUUUCAGUCGAGUGGGCUCCCUUCUGGCCCACGGCAAAUCCAGAAAUGCCAUCCGAGAGCCAAGUCCUGGAAUCAAAGACCUCAAGAACCUGCUUUCUGCUCUACAUCCCUGUGGCUGAACUGAUCCCUAAGGUGCAAGACAAAGCCCCCUUUCCUUUUUCCUCCACUUUUCUCAAGCAGUGAGAAUGUUGCCCUGUAGCCACCAUAGCUGAUAAUGUACUGAGUCUCACCAGAAGCCAGUAGUCUUACCUAAGGCCCUUGACGUAGCACCUAUGUAUUUUAGAAUAUAACAAAGUAUUACAAGUAUUAAUUUUUAUACUCAUGGGCCAUUUAUAGUACAAAUAAUGCUAAGAUGAUCCAGAAAAAAAUCAGAAAGUUAUUAAUUUUGUUUAACAAUGCAUAUGUCUGUCUUAUAUGAAUUUGUGUAGCAUAUAACUUAUCAAUAUGCAAAAAUAAUUAAGUAGCACAAUAUUUUAAGAAAAAAAUACUGAAAAACUUGCAUAAAAAUAUGUCAGUUUCUUGCCAUCACCAUCACAUUCCAGAGCAAACUCACCUAAAUGAACGCUUAUCAUUAUCUUUCAUUAAACCUACAUGCUUAAACUGUGCUUCCGCAAUACAUAUAGUCUUUUUGUUUUUUUUAAUUUUUUGGUGUUUUUUGAACCGUGAACAUUUCUUACCUUUUCAGUAUAUUUCUCUCUCUCUCUCUCUCCUCUUUCUAUUUUUUUUCAUAUAUCAAUACCCUGUAUAAUAAUGAAUGGGGCUAAACCUUAUAAUGAGUUAGUAUGAAAGAUUUUAUCUUUGGGGAUCCUUAGUGUUCUAUCUUUUGUAGAUGUUGAAGAACAAUACAUUUCUUUAGCCUGUUAAGCUGACUGUAAGUAGUAAUGUUCUAGAUGGGCUUGCUGAGUUGCAGUCCACUAAAACAGAAAAAAAAAUUAAGAUUUUUUUUUCAUAACCUAAUUUUCCUGUACCCUAACUGCUAUAACCUAUACAUUAGUUUUUGUUGAGACAAAGAAAUAUAUAAGUUCAUUUUCAGAAUCUCCAAUAUCAAAAUCUGA
ensembl:lncRNA